UUUAUAUUUCAAAACUAUUUAAUACAAGGAAACAUUGAAAAAUAGUGUUCGAAAAGUAAUUAUUAUUGCGCGAUCAUAAUUUAUACAUAUGUUUAAUUCGACCUCGGAUUAUAAUAAUAUAAAGUAGGAAAGUACUCGGCAAGUAUGUCGAAUAGAAGGUCAACAAUAUUAUAACGUUAUAUACGACCAGUACCUACUAAUAUAAUUAUUAUAUUAAAUUAUUAAACGAGUCACAGAAAUGGACCUUAAAAGUCGGGGA